AACGAACGCUGGCGGCAGGCCUAACACAUGCAAGUCGAACGCCGUAGCAAUACGGAGUGGCAGACGGGUGAGUAACGCGUGGGAACAUACCCCUCGGUUCGGAAUAACUUAGGGAAACUUGAGCUAAUACCGGAUACGUCCGAGGUUUUAACCGGCCUCGGAGAAAGAUUUAUCGCCGGAGGAUUGGCCCGCGUCUGAUUAGCUUGUUGGUGAGGUAAUGGCUCACCAAGGCGACGAUCAGUAGCUGGUCUGAGAGGAUGAUCAGCCACAUUGGGGACUGAGACACGGCCCAAACUCCUACGGGAGGCAGCAGGUGGGGAAUAUUGGACAAUGGGCGAAAGCCUGAUCCAGCCAUGCCGCGUGAGUGAUGAAGG
rnacentral:rRNA from 1 species